rnacentral:tRNA from 1 species
GCGGAUGUGGUGGAAUUGGCAGACACGCCGGUCUUAGAAACCGGUUCGUAUGAGUGCAGGUUCAAGUCCUGUCAUCCGCACCA